rnacentral:rRNA from 1 species
UACGAAGGGGGCUAGCGUUGCUCGGAAUCACUGGGCGUAAAGCGCACGUAGGCGGGUCGUUAAGUCAGGGGUGAAAUCCUGGAGCUCAACUCCAGAACUGCCCUUGAUACUGGCGAUCUCGAGUUCGGGAGAGGUGAGUGGAACUGCGAGUGUAGAGGUGAAAUUCGUAGAUAUUCGGAAGAACACCAGUGGCGAAGGCGGCUCACUGGCCCGGUACUGACGCUGAGGUGCGAAAGCGUGGGGAGCAAACAGG